UUGCUUUGCUAUGUCAGAAUUGGGUCAUGGAAGUAAUGUACGUGAAGGUCAUCAAUCUUUAUGGUCUGAGGCAUGGGGCAUCAGGCUGGCCUCUGUUUGGUUGUUAUUGCUCUCUUUUGUUUAUUUAUAGUAACUUUUCCCAUGGUUAAUGUCUAUAGGUCAGAGGAAUUGAAACUCUGACUGUUUAUGAUUCGAAAACUGGGGAGUUUGUCAUCAACACUCCUUGUGAAUCAGCUCAGAAG
rnacentral:misc_RNA from 1 species